AUCAUUAAAUUCAUGUAUCCAAUGUCUUCUGUCUGAACUGUUUAUGACAAAUGUUAAAACUUUCAACAACGGAUCUCUUGGUUCUCGCAUCGAUGAAGAACGCAGCGAAAUGCGAUAAGUAGUGUGAAUUGCAGAAUUCAGUGAAUCAUCGAAUCUUUGAACGCACAUUGCGCCUCCUGGUAUUCCGGGAGGCAUGCCUGUUCGAGCGUCAUUAAAUACCUCUCAAGCAGAUUUGCUUGGUCGUGGAAGAUGAGUUUGCUUGCAUUCUCCCUUCUGAAAUUCAAAGGCGGAUGAUCUCAUAUCCCCAGGCGUAGUAAGUUUAUCUUUUCGCUUGGUGUGUGUGAUUGUCCUGCCGUCAACCCCCAAUUUUUUCAAGGUUGACCUCGGAUCAGGUAGGGAUACCCGCUGAACUUAAGCAUAUCAAUAAGCGGAGGAAAAGAAACCAACAGGGAUUGCCUUAGUAACUGCGA
rnacentral:rRNA from 1 species